CCUGAAGUUGUCUGAUAUUUUGUGUAAAAUAUAUUUCUAACUCUUUCUAAAAAAGAAAUUUACAGGAAGGAGGAGUCCUCCAUGUGGGACACCACAGCACAAACACACAGGCUGUAUAAACAACACACCGCUGCACAUGCCACAGCCCCAGGAGGGCAGGAGAUCAGCAGGUGGAGGAGCUCAGGGUCCCUACCUCCCACAGCACAAGAGUUAACUUUCUGCAGACAAGAUACAUGAGAAGUGUGUGAGAGUCAAAAUAAAACAUCAUCUUGAAAAACAGCUGGAUCGCCGGCUCCCUGUGAAGAAUCUGUUCAUUGGUUUUAGAUUCAAAUCAAUUACUAUCCAGAGGAAUCCAUCGGCUCUCUACCACCAUCACCCAUCCCAUUUGUUCUUUUAUUAAUUCUAGUCAUUUGUGUGUGGAACUGGGGGUGAUCAUUUCUCUGGGCCUGUCUUCUAAGUUCCUUUAAAGAAAAAAUCCCUGUGUGUGUGUGUGUGUGUGUGUGUGUGUGUGUGUGUGUGUGUGUGUUUUCUAAAUAGAAAAGCAAUCUAUAUAAAAUACAAUAGUAAGGAUAACAACUGUUCUUUUAUCUUUUACCUUCUAAGUGUCAUAUUGUGAUAUUUCACGUGUUUUCUUACAUCACCCUCACAAUUAACGUAAGUAGAUAUUGCUCAUUCCUAAUUUACAGAUGACACAACUGAGAUUUAGGGAAGCUCAGAAUUUGGCCAUGACCAUUCAGAUGGCAGGUGUGAGAAUAGAAUCCAGUCACUCUGAUCUGUAAUGGGCACUCACUCUGUCCUGUUAGGUAUUGCAAAAUGUAGGAAAAUCGGACAUAAAAAUCCCCACAAGGCUGCCAUGCAGAGAUGACUGCAGUUGUAGUGUGGAGACUUACCUUUAAUUUUCCGCUCAUUUGUAAAUGACCAAACAAUUCAUGCAGACGGAACCAUUUUGUAACUUGCUUUUUCCCCAUUUAACAGUAUGUCUCUAACGCCUUUCUACAUCAAUACAUGUAGAUCAUUCAUUUUCUUCUGUGUACUCUUCUUGCAGCUUUGCUGGUAGUGUCUUCUCGUCUGCAGCCCUGGCCUGGAGGUAAGUGUGAUCUCUCUGCAGCAUUUGACACAGGGUUUCCUCCCUCCCUCCAGAGCAGACUUUCUUUGCCUCCAUCAAAACACCCAGCAUUGAGUUUCACGUCAUCAGACUACACCACUUUCCUGCCC
rnacentral:lncRNA from 1 species